UACAGAGGGUGCGAGCGUUGUUCGGAAUUACUGGGCGUAAAGCGUGCGCAGGCGGCUAUGCAAGACAGAUGUGAAAUCCCCGGGCUCAACCUGGGAACUGCAUUUGUGACUGCAUAGCUAGAGUACGGUAGAGGGGGAUGGAAUUCCGCGUGUAGCAGUGAAAUGCGUAGAUAUGCGGAGGAACACCGAUGGCGAAGGCAAUCCCCUGGACCUGUACUGACGCUCAUGCACGAAAGCGUGGGGAGCAAACAGG
rnacentral:rRNA from 1 species